UUCGAUCGUAAUCAGAUUGAACGCUGGCGAGAUGCUUACACAUGCAAGUCGAACGGCAGCACGGACUUCUGGUCUGGUGGCGAGUGGCGAACGGGUGGUAAUGUAUCGGAACGUGCCUGGUAGCGGGGGAUAACUACGCCAGCGUAGCUAAUACCGCAUACGCCCUUCGGGAAAGCGGGGACCUUCCGGGCCUCCGCACUAUUAGAGCGACCGAUAUCCCGGAUUAGCUAGUUGGUGGGGUAACGGCUCGCAAAGGCGACCCGAUCCGUAGCUGGUUUUGAGAGGACGGCUCCAGCCACGCAGGACUGAGACACGGCCCAGACUCCUGCGGGAACUUAACGGUGGGGAAUUUUUUGGACAAUGGGAAACCUGAUCCAACCAUCCGCGUGUCGCGAUGAGGCUAUUUCGGGUUGUAAACACUUUUGGCAGGAAAGAAGCAAUGCACGGGAUAAUACCCACACGUGCAACUGACGGCACUGCCUGCAGAAUAAGCACCGGCUAACUACGAUACCAGCAGCCGCGGUAAUACGUAAGGUGCAAGCGUUAAUCAGGUACUUGGAGCGUAAAGCGUGCGCAGGCGGUUCGGAGAAGAAAGAUGCUUGAAAUCUGAGCUUAACUUUGGAACUUCAUUACCCGCUACCGAGGCUAGAGAGUGUGUCAGAAAGGGAGGUGGAAUUCCGCGUGUAGCAGUGAAAUGCAUGAAUGUGCGGAGGAACACCGAUGGCGAAGAGCGGCCUCCUAGGAUAACACUGACGCUCCAUGCACGAAAGCGUGGGGAGCAAACAGGAUUAGAUACCCUGGUAGUCCACGCCUAAGCGAUGUCAACAGCUGUUGGGGCCUUCGGGCCUUGGUAGCGCAGCUAACGCGUGAAGUUGACCGCCUGGGAGUACGGUCGCAAGAUUAAAGAAACUCAAAGGAAUUGACGGGGACCCGCACAAGCGGUGGAUGAUGUGGAUCAAUUCGAUGCAACGCGAAAAACCUUACCUACCCUUGACAUGUCUGGAAUCCGAAGAGAUUUGGGAGUGCUCGCAAGAGAACCGGAACACAGGUGCUACAUGGCUGUCGUCCAGCUCGUGUCGUGAGAUGUUGGUUAAGUCCGCAACGAGCGCAACCCUUGUCAUUAGUUGCUACGAAGGGCACUCUAAUGGAACUGCCGGUGACAAACCGGAGGAAGAGUGAGGAUGACGUCAGAAUCCUCAUGGCCCUUAUGCCAGGCCAGGGCUUCCCGCACGUCAUACAAUGGUCUGAGACAGAGAGAAGUCGCCAACCCGCGAGGGAGCCAAUCACCAGAAACCGAUCGUAGUCCGGAUCAUGAUCUGCAACUCGACUGCGUGAAGUCGAGAAUCGCUAGUAAUCGGAUCAGCAUGUCGCGGUGAAUACGUUCCCAGGUCUUGUACACACCGCCCGUCACACCAUGGGAAGUGGGUUUUACCAAAUGGUCGCCUAACCGUAAGGAAGACGAUUACCACGGUAGGAUUCAUGACUGGGGUGAAGUCGUAACAAAGGUAA
rnacentral:rRNA from 1 species